AGCUACAAAAUAUAAUGGAAAUAUGUUGAAAAGCAGCUCAUAUGUAUCUAAAAUUGCAACUAGACCAAGCAUUAGCAAUCACUUAGUUUAUUGAAUUGCUUAUGCCUUCAUUUAAAAUUAAGCAUUUGAUUAUCAUCCACCUCAUUAUGCGCUAUGCAGCCUUAUAAAUGCCAAGAAUAACCAGCUAAAAUAAAAUCCCUGUUCGAUAGUCAUCCUAAGCAAGGGUAAUCAUUAUCAAAGUUUAUCACAGUAUUGCCCUAAUGCAGAAUAGUUUGAAAGACUCCUGAUGCUAUUAAAAAAGAAAAAGAAAAAAAA
rnacentral:misc_RNA from 1 species